GGUCAAGUGAAGAAGCGCAUACGGUGGAUGCCUUGGCAGUCAGAGGCGAUGAAAGACGUGGUAGCCUGCGAUAAGCUUUGGGGAGUCGGCAAACAGACUGUGAUCCAGAGAUCUCUGAAUGGGGGAACCCACUCAGCAUAAGCUGAGUAUCUUGUACUGAAUACAUAGGUGCAAGAGGCGAACCAGGGGAACUGAAACAUCUAAGUACCCUGAGGAAAAGAAAUCAACCGAGAUUCCCUUAGUAGUGGCGAGCGAACGGGGACCAGCCCUUAAGUUGAUUUGAGAUUAGUGGAACGCUCUGGAAAGUGCGGCCAUAGUGGGUGAUAGCCCCGUACACGAAAAUCUCUUGUCAAUGAAAUCGAGUAGGACGGAGCACGAGAAACUUUGUCUGAAUAUGGGGGGACCAUCCUCCAAGGCUAAAUACUACUGACUGACCGAUAGUGAACCAGUACCGUGAGGGAAAGGCGAAAAGAACCCCGGAGAGGGGAGUGAAAUAGAACCUGAAACCGUAUGCGUACAAGCAGUGGGAGCCUACUUUGUUAGGUGACUGCGUACCUUUUGUAUAAUGGGUCAGCGACUUAUAUUCAGUGGCGAGCUUAACCGAAUAGGGGAGGCGUAGCGAAAGCGAGUCUUAAUAGGGCGUUUAGUCGCUGGGUAUAGACCCGAAACCGGGCGAUCUAUCCAUGGGCAGGUUGAAGGUUAGGUAACACUGACUGGAGGACCGAACCGACUACCGUUGAAAAGUUAGCGGAUGACCUGUGGAUCGGAGUGAAAGGCUAAUCAAGCUCGGAGAUAGCUGGUUCUCCUCGAAAGCUAUUUAGGUAGCGCCUCAUGUAUCACUCCAGGGGGUAGAGCACUGUUUCGGCUAGGGGGUCAUCCCGACUUACCAAACCGAUGCAAACUCCGAAUACCUGGAAGUGCCGAGCAUGGGAGACACACGGCGGGUGCUAACGUCCGUCGUGAAAAGGGAAACAACCCAGACCGUCAGCUAAGGUCCCAAAGUCAUGGUUAAGUGGGAAACGAUGUGGGAAGGCUUAGACAGCUAGGAGGUUGGCUUAGAAGCAGCCACCCUUUAAAGAAAGCGUAAUAGCUCACUAGUCGAGUCGGCCUGCGCGGAAGAUGUAACGGGGCUCAAACCAUGCACCGAAGCUACGGGUGUCAUCUUUGAUGACGCGGUAGAGGAGCGUUCUGUAAGCCUGUGAAGGUGAGUUGAGAAGCUUGCUGGAGGUAUCAGAAGUGCGAAUGCUGACAUGAGUAACGACAAUGCGAGUGAAAAACUCGCACGCCGAAAGACCAAGGUUUCCUGCGCAACGUUAAUCGACGCAGGGUUAGUCGGUCCCUAAGGCGAGGCUGAAAAGCGUAGUCGAUGGAAAACAGGUUAAUAUUCCUGUACUUCCAGUUAUUGCGAUGGAGGGACGGAGAAGGUUAGGCCAGCCUGGCGUUGGUUGUCCAGGUUUAAGGUGGUAGGCUGAAAUCUUAGGCAAAUCCGGGAUUUCAAGGCCGAGAGCUGAUGACGAGUUGCCU
rnacentral:rRNA from 1 species